CCCAACGAGACGCAUACCUCAGCAACAGCAACUCCGCCCGUUCCUGUCAACACACACCAUCAUCAUUCAAUAGCUCCCAUAGGCUUGACGUGAUAAUGAUAAGUGUAUCUUUUUGAAAGCAAUCACGAAAGCUACUCCAUCUAGGACAAAAGUCUCGGCCCUGAACGCGUGGCUUAUUACGUAACCAUUCCUCUAUAUAUUGACAUGGACACAGAGCGGAUGCUAAGUGACGAGGCGAAGAAGGAUUUCCACCCUCUUCGUCAACUGUCCAAUCCAAACGUCGACCUGCAUUCAGGACCAACCACAUGACACCAAAUCCAAAUAAAGUAAGACCAGUCACUCCAGAGAAUAGCAGACCGAGUAAUACAACAAAGGCGAUGAAUAUCCAAAGGACAAGAAUCCUCUUGUAGCAUACAUUAUACAUGUUAAAAC